rnacentral:rRNA from 1 species
UACGUAGGCAGCGAGCGUUGUUCGGAAUUACUGGGCGUGAAGAGUGUGUAGGCGGUGCUCCCAGUCUGUUGUGAAAUCUCCCGGCUUAACUGGGAGGGUGCAGCGGAAACUAGAGUGCUAGAGGGUGGGAGAGGUAAGCGGAAUUCCUGGUGUAGCGGUGAAAUGCGUAGAUAUCAGGAGGAACACCUGUGGUGUAGACAGCUUACUGGACCACUUCUGACGCUGAGACACGAAAGCGUGGGUAGCAAAUAGG